rnacentral:tRNA from 1 species
CGGGGCGUAGCUCAGCCUGGUAGAGCACUAGCUUUGGGAGCUAGGGGUCGCGAGUUCGAAUCCCGCCGCCCCGACCA